rnacentral:rRNA from 1 species
CGGACGGGUGAGUAACGCGUGGAAAACCUGCCGUAUACUGGGGGAUAACACUUAGAAAUAGGUGCUAAUACCGCAUAAGCGCACAGCUUCGCAUGAAGCGGUGUGAAAAACUCUGGUGGUAUACGAUGGUUCCGCGUCUGAUUAGCUAGUUGGUGGGGUAAUGGCCUACCAAGGCAACGAUCAGUAGCCGGCCUGAGAGGGUGAACGGCCACAUUGGGGCUGAGACACGGCCCAAACUCCUACGGAAGGCAGCAG